rnacentral:rRNA from 1 species
UACGAAGGGGGCUAGCGUUGUUCGGAAUUACUGGGCGUAAAGCGCACGUAGGCGGACUAUUAAGUCAGGGGUGAAAUCCCGGGGCUCAACCCCGGAACUGCCUUUGAUACUGGUAGUCUCGAGUCCGGAAGAGGUGAGUGGAAUUCCGAGUGUAGAGGUGAAAUUCGUAGAUAUUCGGAGGAACACCAGUGGCGAAGGCGGCUCACUGGUCCGGUACUGACGCUGAGGUGCGAAAGCGUGGGUAGCGAACAGG